AGGUGAAAGCAGCUUAAUUGGAGCCAGUUGUAGGGAUCUGUGGUGCAGGACUCAGAGAACCUGGUGGCUGCUGACUUCUUCCCAAAGAAGUUUGGCUGUGUGUCUACAAACCAUGCGUGUGUACACGUGUAGGUAUGGCGUUAGCACGAGUGCCUGAAUUAGAGCCAUGACCCUCCAGGGAGUGCUGUGGUCUUGCAGGGCUGGAAAGCUGUCAGCUGUGUGAACUUGCAGAAGAACUAGUUUUGCUCAGCUUUGGCUUUUGGAGAGAAGAAAUGAUUGCUGAAGAAACGUAGCUGGGCAGCAAGUCCCUGCUCAGGAUGGGGUAAUGCAUUGAGCAUGGGACAGCAAACAAAACACAUCGCUGCAUGGGAUCGCUGCCCUGGGUGAUGGAAGCACUUGGCUUUAAAAAAAAAAAAAAAAAAAAAAAAAAAAAAUCGGCAGGGAGAUUUUUUCUUUCCCUAGACAUUUAUGCAGAAAAACACCCUCUGAGUGGGGCGUGAUUUCCUUCAGCAGCUGAAAUCACCUGCCUCUUGCUUUCAGCCACAACCAGCCAAGGUUUCCAAAAUAAAACAAAAGCAUUAAGUGUGAUUAUUGGGCAAGACUUGCUUCUUCCUCAGACCUCGCUGCAGCCGUCCCCAGCCCAGGGCUGCCUGGGCGAGGAGUGUGUUGGAGCCAGUGGCUGGUGGUGAGAGUCAGCAAACCCCCUUCUGUGCAGCUGGGAUGAACUUUGCUUGAGAACCAACCUUUUGCCAGAAUGUUCUUUUGCUGAACAUCACUUUUACAAUAAUAAUAAUAAAAGAGAGAGAGACAGAAAAGGGAAA